rnacentral:rRNA from 1 species
UUAAGCGACUAAGCGUACACGGUGGAUGCCCUGGCAGUCAGAGGCGAUGAAGGACGUGCUAAUCUGCGAUAAGCGUCGGUAAGGUGAUAUGAACCGUUAUAACCGGCGAUUUCCGAAUGGGGAAACCCAGUGUGAUUCGUCACACUAUCAUUAACUGAAUCCAUAGGUUAAUGAGGCGAACCGGGGGAACUGAAACAUCUAAGUACCCCGAGGAAAAGAAAUCAACCGAGAUUCCCCCAGUAGCGGCGAGCGAACGGGGAGCAGCCCAGAGCCUGAAUCAGUGUGUGUGUUAGUGGAAGCGUCUGGAAAGGCGCGCGAUACAGGGUGACAGCCCCGUACACAAAAAUGCACAUACUGUGAGCUCGAUGAGUAGGGCGGGACACGUGGUAUCCUGUCUGAAUAUGGGGGGACCAUCCUCCAAGGCUAAAUACUCCUGACUGACCGAUAGUGAACCAGUACCGUGAGGGAAAGGCGAAAAGAACCCCGGCGAGGGGAGUGAAAAAGAACCUGAAACCGUGUACGUACAAGCAGUGGGAGCACAGAGCAAUCUGUGUGACUGCGUACCUUUUGUAUAAUGGGUCAGCGACUUAUAUUCUGUAGCAAGGUUAACCGAAUAGGGGAGCCGAAGGGAAACCGAGUCUUAACUGGGCGUUAAGUUGCAGGGUAUAGACCCGAAACCCGGUGAUCUAGCCAUGGGCAGGUUGAAGGUUGGGUAACACUAACUGGAGGACCGAACCGACUAAUGUUGAAAAAUUAGCGGAUGACUUGUGGCUGGGGGUGAAAGGCCAAUCAAACCGGGAGAUAGCUGGUUCUCCCCGAAAGCUAUUUAGGUAGCGCCUCGUGAAUUCAUCUCCGGGGGUAGAGCACUGUUUCGGCAAGGGGGUCAUCCCGACUUACCAACCCGAUGCAAACUGCGAAUACCGGAGAAUGUUAUCACGGGAGACACACGGCGGGUGCUAACGUCCGUCGUGAAGAGGGAAACAACCCAGACCGCCAGCUAAGGUCCCAAAGUCAUGGUUAAGUGGGAAACGAUGUGGGAAGGCCCAGACAGCCAGGAUGUUGGCUUAGAAGCAGCCAUCAUUUAAAGAAAGCGUAAUAGCUCACUGGUCGAGUCGGCCUGCGCGGAAGAUGUAACGGGGCUAAACCAUGCACCGAAGCUGCGGCAGCGACGCUUAUGCGUUGUUGGGUAGGGGAGCGUUCUGUAAGCCUGCGAAGGUGUGCUGUGAGGCAUGCUGGAGGUAUCAGAAGUGCGAAUGCUGACAUAAGUAACGAUAAAGCGGGUGAAAAGCCCGCUCGCCGGAAGACCAAGGGUUCCUGUCCAACGUUAAUCGGGGCAGGGUGAGUCGACCCCUAAGGCGAGGCCGAAAGGCGUAGUCGAUGGGAAACAGGUUAAUAUUCCUGUACUUGGUGUUACUGCGAAGGGGGGACGGAGAAGGCUAUGUUGGCCGGGCGACGGUUGUCCCGGUUUAAGCGUGUAGGCUGGUUUUCCAGGCAAAUCCGGAAAAUCAAGGCUGAGGCGUGAUGACGAGGCACUACGGUGCUGAAGCAACAAAUGCCCUGCUUCCAGGAAAAGCCUCUAAGCAUCAGGUAACAUCAAAUCGUACCCCAAACCGACACAGGUGGUCAGGUAGAGAAUACCAAGGCGCUUGAGAGAACUCGGGUGAAGGAACUAGGCAAAAUGGUGCCGUAACUUCGGGAGAAGGCACGCUGAUAUGUAGGUGAAGUCCCUCGCGGAUGGAGCUGAAAUCAGUCGAAGAUACCAGCUGGCUGCAACUGUUUAUUAAAAACACAGCACUGUGCAAACACGAAAGUGGACGUAUACGGUGUGACGCCUGCCCGGUGCCGGAAGGUUAAUUGAUGGGGUCAGCGCAAGCGAAGCUCUUGAUCGAAGCCCCGGUAAACGGCGGCCGUAACUAUAACGGUCCUAAGGUAGCGAAAUUCCUUGUCGGGUAAGUUCCGACCUGCACGAAUGGCGUAAUGAUGGCCAGGCUGUCUCCACCCGAGACUCAGUGAAAUUGAACUCGCUGUGAAGAUGCAGUGUACCCGCGGCAAGACGGAAAGACCCCGUGAACCUUUACUAUAGCUUGACACUGAACAUUGAGCCUUGAUGUGUAGGAUAGGUGGGAGGCUUGGAAGUGUGGACGCCAGUCUGCAUGGAGCCGACCUUGAAAUACCACCCUUUAAUGUUUGAUGUUCUAACGUUGACCCGUAAUCCGGGUUGCGGACAGUGUCUGGUGGGUAGUUUGACUGGGGCGGUCUCCUCCUAAAGAGUAACGGAGGAGCACGAAGGUUGGCUAAUCCUGGUCGGACAUCAGGAGGUUAGUGCAAUGGCAUAAGCCAGCUUGACUGCGAGCGUGACGGCGCGAGCAGGUGCGAAAGCAGGUCAUAGUGAUCCGGUGGUUCUGAAUGGAAGGGCCAUCGCUCAACGGAUAAAAGGUACUCCGGGGAUAACAGGCUGAUACCGCCCAAGAGUUCAUAUCGACGGCGGUGUUUGGCACCUCGAUGUCGGCUCAUCACAUCCUGGGGCUGAAGUAGGUCCCAAGGGUAUGGCUGUUCGCCAUUUAAAGUGGUACGCGAGCUGGGUUUAGAACGUCGUGAGACAGUUCGGUCCCUAUCUGCCGUGGGCGCUGGAGAACUGAGGGGGGCUGCUCCUAGUACGAGAGGACCGGAGUGGACGCAUCACUGGUGUUCGGGUUGUCAUGCCAAUGGCACUGCCCGGUAGCUAAAUGCGGAAGAGAUAAGUGCUGAAAGCAUCUAAGCACGAAACUUGCCCCGAGAUGAGUUCUCCCUGACUCCUUGAGAGUCCUGAAGGAACGUUGAAGACGACGACGUUGAUAGGCCGGAUGUGUAAGCGCAGCGAUGCGUUGAGCUAACCGGUACUAAUGAACCGUGAGGCUUAACCUU